UACGAGUGGUGCAAGCAUUAUUCGGAAUCAUUGGGCGUAAAGGGUGCGUAGGUGGCACAUUAAGUCUACUGUUAAAUAUCUCGGCCUAACCGAGAGCCUGCAGUGGAGACUGGUGAGCUAGAGGAUGAUAGAGAGAAGUGGAAUUCUCGGAGUAGCGGUAAAAUGCGUAGAUCUCGAGAGGAACACCGAUGGCGAAAGCAGCUUCUUGGAUCAAUCCUGACACUGAUGCACGAAAGCGUGGGGAGCAAACAGG
rnacentral:rRNA from 1 species